UUAAAGGAGCAAUCCGCUAUAGGAUGGGCCCGCGGCGCAUUAGCUAGUUGGUGAGGUAACGGCUCACCAAGGCGACGAUGCGUAGCCGACCUGAGAGGGUGAUCGGCCACAUUGGGACUGAGACACGGCCCAGACUCCUACGGGAGGCAGCAGUGGGGAAUAUUGCACGAUGGGGGAAACCCUGAUGCAGCAACGCCGCGUGAGUGAAGAGAGGCCUUCGGGUUGUAAAGCUCUGUCUUUGGGGACGAUAAUGAU
rnacentral:rRNA from 1 species